AAUGAACAGCGCCAGGGUACCUCACUCGUCCAAUGAACAGCGCCAGGGGUACCUCACUCGUCCAAUGAGGGCAGAGCGGAGGGCAACGCUGCCAUCACACAAGUAUUUGCUGAAAAAGAGUUUUCCUUAGUGUAUUAUUCUGACCGUGAAGAGGCAGAAGAGGACUGUUUUAAAGACAACCCUCCCACUCCACACUGCAGUGCUGUUCGGAAGAAGACGAGGAGUGGAAACAAUUGGGUAUCACUCAGAUACAGUACUUUACAUGUUUGUGGAGGUUUUAAAGUAUACCAUACAAAAGU